UACUUGGCAGCAGAAAACACACAACGUGGGCACAUGAACUUGCCGUAGGUAAGUUCUCCGGGGACGGCCUUCGAGUUUGCCAGCGUGUGAAGCAGGGAAAGCGGCGGCAGCGUCAGGACAUGGCAGCAAGGCGAGGCGGCGCUGCUGAUGGGGGGGUCGGCGAGAUGGGACCUGCAGACAUGGGAAAAAAUGGGGAUCCAGCGGAUCUGACGAGGGGAUCCGUUGUGACGCCUGGAUAAUUAAGCUACAGUAAUUCCCUGCUAAUGGUGCCACGUCAUCAUGACUAUUGUUGUUAAACCCGCAUUGGUUCGAAUCUGGUCCAUAUUCAAAUUUAAAUUAAAGUCAAAACAUUUAAAGUUUUCAAAUGUCCGAACUAAAAUGUUCAUAAUGUUGCAAAUAAUCACCAAGUAAUUUUAAUGGAAAAAUCAACGUUAUUUGAAUUAAUGAAAUGCCACUAACCUUUUCAAAAUAGAGCCAAUAUAGCAAAUUUUAACUCAUUUAUAUUUAAACCCAAUCCUAAUGAAUUCAACAACCCUCAAACUUUUUGUGAUAGUACUAGGUUUUUCCCUGGUAUUUAUUCUGCUUAAUAACACUUUUUUCAAAACUCAUGUAGUGCAAGAAAUAGUGCAAAAUAGAAAAGGAUAACAUAAAACGAAACUAAAAAAAGAAAGAAAAAAGAAAAGCAAAGCCCCCCCCCCCUCUUCAUGGGCCUAAUGGCCCAACCGGCCACCCAUGCCACCAGGAGGCCCAUCCCGUCCCACCUUAUCCCCGAGCAACCGAACCUAGCCCGCACCCACCACUCACCCCCACUCCCCCCACGUUCGUCCCUCCCUGAUCUAGAUCGGGAUAGGGGGAAGGGACUGCAUCGUUGCAUGCACCCGUCGCCUACUCCGGUGCCCACCGCACCCUCUCCUCCUCCCGCGGCCGCGCCACCGCCAUCGCGCCCGCGCCCGGGGAUCCGCCACCUCCCGCCGUCCUCACACCAUUGCCUCGCAGGAGCUCCUCCCAUGGCCACCGCCUAGUUGUGUCGCGCCAAGUCACCCCUCGCUGGAGAUUGACGGAUCCCGGAGGCCCCGUCGCGGGUCCGGCAUCCCUCGCCUUCUUCCCCCUCGUCGGAGCCCCCCUCGUCACCCGUCGUCGUCGCCGGAACCUCCCCGGCCUCCUCCUCACAGGUCGCCGCCACACCUCGCCGCCCCCGCUCCCCGCCAACGGCUAUGAGCGCCUCCCUCGUCUUCUUUUCUCCUCGCCACAGUCAUCGACGCCCCACGCCGAUCCGUGCACCCUCUCGCCCACGCAUGGCCUCGCCUCCCUCUGUUACUGCUCACCCGUCGUUGCUCGUGGCUAGCCUCGCCCAGUUUUGCAUCUGUCGUGCCCCAGCCUGCUCCGGCGUGCCUGCGCCUCGUCGGCGUUGGUCCUAUCUGGGGCCAUGCCCUGCUCCCCCAUCGCGCUCUGCGCUCGUCGCUGGCGCUCCUCUGUGAGCGGCCGCGCAUUGCCAAGCCAUGGCUGCUUGUGCCACUGCCACUGGGACCAACCCCCCUUAAAAAAGGAACAAAAUGAAUAACCAAAAGAAAUAAAUAAAAUAGGAUAAAUAGUUAAUUAAUUAUUUGGUUAAUUAACCUAAUUAAUUGGUUUAGCUAGCCUAACAGAAUAUGACAGUGGAACCCCCUAGUUAAACUAAACUCUUGAACUAACCCUAGACUAUGACAUGUGGCCCCACCUUGGCCAGUUUGACCAGUCAAAGUGCUGACUGUGUAUCACCUAGCCAAUGACAUAUGCCCCCCACUGCACUGUUCACGUUUGACCAGUCAAAUGUCGACUGCUGAGUCAACUGUUGACUUGGCCCACUGUUAGCCUCAAGCACACACUAAUGGGUACACUUUCGGGUGCACUUAGCAUUUAGUCCUUAUAAUAUUUUGAAUUAGUAUUAAAUACAAAAAUUCAGAAAAUAAAUUAAAACUUUGAAAGUUAAUAUAAAAUGAUCCGUAACUCGGAUGAAAAAACUUUGUACAUGAAAGUUGCUCAGAACAACAAGACGAAUCCGGAUACGCAGCCCAUUCGUCCGUCACGCAUCCCUAGCAUAGCGAACACGCAACUUUCCCCCUCCGGUUCAUCUGUCCGAAAACGCGAAAUACCGGGGAUAUUUUCCCGAAUGUUUCCCCUCUUCACCGGUACCACCUCAUACCGCGUUAGGGCACCCCUAGCACCGCUACUUGUCAUGUCAUGCAUUGCUAUGCAUCUGUUUGCUUAAUAUUUAUUGUUUCUUCCCCCUCUUCUCUCGCUAGACACCGAGACUAACGUCGUUGCUACAUAGUACGACUAUGUUGCUGACGACCCCUCUCUCUUGGCAGAGCAACCAGGCAAGCCCCCCCCCCCUUGAUCACCAGAUGUCGCCUACUCUUCUCUAUACUGCUUGCAUUAGAGUGGUGUAGCAUGUUACUGCUUUCUGUUAAUCCUAUCCUGAUGCAUAGCCUGUCCUUGUUACUACUGUUGUUACCUUUACCUGCAAUCCUAAUGCGUAGUAUAGGAUGCUAGUUUAUCAUCAGUGCCCCUACAUUCUAGUCCGUCUGCCAUGCUAUACUAUCGGGCCAUGAUCAUUCGGGAGGUGAUCACGGGUAUAUACUUAUACAUAUAUACAUACUACAGGUGGUGACUAAAGUCGGGUCAGCUCGUUGAGUACCCGCAAGUGAUUCUAAUGUAGGGGCUGAAGGGGCAGGUGGCUCCAUCCAGGUAGUGGUGGGCCUGAGUUCCCAACGGCCCCCGAUUGUUACUUUGAGGCGGAGCGACAGGGCAGGUUGAGACCACCUAGGAGAGAGGUGGGCCUGGCCCUGGUCGGCGUUCGCGGUUACUUCAAGAUAACAUGCUUAACGAGAUCUUGGUAUUUGAUCUGAGUCUGGCUACUGGCCUAUACGCACUAACCAUCUAUGCGGGGACAGUUAUGGGCACUCGACGUCGUGGUAUCAGCCGAAGCCUUCGUGACGUCAGCGACUGAGCGGCGCGCGCUGGGUUGGACCGUGUAACGCAACUUCCUUUGUAAUGGAGGUUGCUAGGUCUGCUGACCGGACGCGUACGCAACGUGCAGGUGUGCAAUGGGUGAUGGGCCCAGGCCCCUGCGCCAUAGGAUUUAGACCGGCAUGCUGACCUCUUUGUUGUGCCUAGAUAGGGCUGCGACGUGUUGAUCUACCGAGGCCGGGCAUGACCCAGGAAAGUGUGUCCAGCCAAAUGGGAUCGAGUGUGUUGGGAAAUGUGGUGCACCCCUGCAGGGAAGUUGAUCUUUUUGAAUAGUCGUGUCCCUCGUUAAAAGGACGACCCGGAGUUGUACCUCGACCUUAUGACAACUAGAACCGGAUACUUAAUAAAACACACCCUUCCAAGUGCCAGAUACAACCGGUGAUCGCUCUCUCACAGGGCGACAAGGGGAGGAUCAUCGGUUAGGAUUAUGCUACAUGAUGUUACUGGGUGAACUUACCAUCUACUCUCUUCUUCUGCUGCAAGAUGGAGGUUACCAGAAGUGUAGUCUUCGAAAGGACUAGCUAUCCCCCUCUUAUUCCGGCAUUCUGCAGUUCAGCCCACAUAUGAUACCCUUAUUCCAUUUGAUACCAAUGCAUACAUAUGUAGUGUAGCUCCUUGCUUGCAAGUACUUUGGAUGAGUACUCACGGUUGCUUUGCUCCCUCUUUUCCCCCUUUCUAUUCUCGAUUUCUGUGACCAGGCGAUGGAGCCCAGGAGCCAGAUGCCACUGUCGAUGAAGACUACUACUACUCGGGAGGUGCCUACUACUACGUGCAGCCCGCUGACAACGACCAGGAGUAUCUUAGGAGGAUCCCAGGCAGGAGGCCUAUGCCUCUUUCGAUCAGUAUCCCAAUUUGUGCUAGCCUUCUUAAGGCAAACUUGUUUAACUUAUGUCUGUACUCAGAUAUUGUUGCUUCCGCUGACUCGUCUAUGAUCGAGAUCUUGUAUUCGAGCCCUCGAGGCCCCUGGCUUGUAAUAUGAUGCUUGUAUGACUUAUUUUACUUGUAGAGUUGUGUUGUGAUAUCUUCCCGUGAGUCCCUGAUCUUGAUCGUACAUGUUUGCGUGUGUGAUUAGUGUAUGAUUGAAUCGGGGCAUCACAAGUUGGUAACAGAGCCGACUGCCUGUAGGAAUCCCCCUUCCACGCUCCUUGGCUGAAGUCGAGUCUAGUCUUUGAAAAAACUUUUACUAACAUGGCUAUGUGGCUUACGGGCCCACGUCGCCAUUGGGUGGCAUUAGAAUCUUUUACUCCUUGUCGAUUCUCUAGGACUCUGAUCUCUCUUCUUUCGGGUUAAAUGAAUUUUGCUAAAUCUAACAUUAGGAUCUCGUUAUCACUUUCACUUGGAGAGCCCCUAAUUACUGAUGAUCGUCUGCUGCACGUGAAGGCCCCAAAGAUACUCUCCGCUGUUAACCCGAGAACUUGUGUUCAUCGCGUUUGCAAUUCCCCUUCCACCGUCAACCCUUAGGGAUAACUACUUGCAGUUGUUAUUCUUACAUUCAUCCCCAGUUGGUCUUGUAAUUACAAGAUACCCCGAAAUACUCGUCGUUGUUUCGAUAAUCCUUUAAGCUUACUGCCUUGUUGUUCUUUGUCACCUGAAUACCCCUAUGGAUAAUUCUCGCACUUAUCGAGUAUCCGCUCAUCCCCCAGUUGUUCAUGUGUUUCACAAUGGUCUUCGAAAUACUAUUCGAUCCUCCAAAAAUCCUUAGUAGCUUAUUGCUCUGCAAUACUUGUCUGCUUGCAUUAUGGAUGCUUUCCAUAUGUUUGGCAAUAUUCGUCAGUAUCCUUAGACACCGUCAUUUUGAUCCUAUUGAUUCAACAUGAGUGCGAAUGCACGCAAUCAUCAGUUGAUCCUUUCAAAUUAUCUUUCUUCCUCAGACAUCAUUUUUGAACAUGAUCUUGUUCUCGACCAAUCUAUUUGUCGUCAAUUGUACCCUUAGGUCUAUUGAACUUAUCCACCCUUGAUCAGAGCGUCUGCUUCUGAUCCUUCUAUUUGGAAAUCAUAAUUCCUUUCAUAUCUAAGCAUCGAAUCAUUCAGGUGUUCUAUAAUCUGAUGCCCUUGCAUCCUUUCUUCAACUGAUUGUGUGUCGAUGCUCACAUCAGCUCCGCUAUGGAUCGUCAGAUCCUUUAUUGGAUUAUUAUUCGACAGUGUCCUCCUUAUUCAAUAACCUCGUGAGCCUUUCCUCUGAUACAUAAUGCUUUUGGUAAAUUGUAUCCUCUAUUUUCUCAACCAUGCUCUGUUUUCGAGCUGGUGGUAUUUACGAUUGAAGCUUGUGGUAUAUGUUUCCACGAUACCCUGAUGGGUUGAACCUAUGUCUUUCUUAAUCUGUGUGAACCCGAAGGUUUUCAUGGGUCAUACUCCUCUGGUAAUUCACCAGGUAGGUUUUGACACUGAAAUCAUUUUUAUCUAGAACAGUGAAUGAAAGGUUAUGCGUUGAAGAAGUGGGAGUCGACCUUGAACUUUGUGUUCAUGCCCAUGGACACGAUGUAGAUCUUAUCAUUAAAGCUUCUCUUAAAUUAUUUUUUUCCCUUGGUAUAAGUUCUUAUAUCUGGGAUCCGGCCCUUUGCAAUCGUGGUUUCGACCAUAUGUUCUUCUUUGACCCCAUUUCACGGGCAAGUUUAAGCACUUGUCUUCUGUGGAUCAAUGCACCAGUCCAACCUUUACUUUGAUCUUUCGUCGAGUAUUACACCAUGGUACCUCGAUAAUAUCAAGUACUACAUAACUCUCUUAUGAGUUCCUCAUCAAGUACUACAUUCUCACUGAUUCCAAUUUUUCACGGGCUCUGAGUUAUUAAACACUCAAAACCGAUAACUGAACCGAGUCCACACUAUGGUUCAACAACUAUUAUAAAUCUUCUUUGCUUACGAGUUUGUACCCGAUCACAUCCUUCCUACCCUAUUUGGCUAUAUCAUUACUGUGAUGAUUUUAACUGUGCUAGUUGGUCCUUAAAUCUCGGAGCACAAUUUUCGACGAUGAGCUAAGCUUGCGUCGAUCUUGCCCGUCAUAUCAUUUCGUCUUGAACAGCAAGCUUGAUUUCGAGUUUGUGUCGUACCCAUGGUUCCAAUAGCCAUUCGCUUCAUCAUUCUUUGACUUGAUGCCAUCGUCGAUCGAUUACAUCUUCAUGAAAUAUCUCGACAAAUGUGUCAUGAUCAUCAUCAGCAUUUUGAGCUCUUCCAGGCUAUCAACUGAAUUCAUGAUGAGAAAUACCAUCCUUGCCCUCAAUGAUUUGUGUUAUCAUUGACCACUUUAUUGCCUUCCGUUCAACACAAACUUGUUCAUAUUUUGUGUUAUACCUUGAGAUCCUUGCUAUCCAGCAUGUGUUCUUCUUUGCCUUGGAGUAUUACCAUCUUUUAUGUCAAGAAUCUCAUGAGAAUUUCACCACCUCUUAAUAAUUCUUGAUAUAGUAAUAUUUCUCGCCAUCUCCGUUCAUAUCUUGGUCCCCGUGUUGUUUCUAACCAGGAUACCAGCCAUUUAAGUAUGGUGUGUGAAGUCAAAACUUCUAGCAACCCUAUUGCUUGUAAGUUAUUGGUCGAUAGUUUCAUUCUAAGUCAAUUGCUUAUUGAAUCACCCUUCUAACAUUGAUCUUGCUACCUAAGUCCAGAUUUCCGAGUGCACCUUUCAACCAAUGAUUAAAUUGUGUAUGUUUCCCUCGAGCAUACAUCAUUAUAUCAUCUGAUCUGACAAAUGCUAUCUCCUUGUUCACAUAAUUGUGGACAUCCAUCUUUUGGAAAUCUCAAUGAAUUUUCGUUGAGUUCAUCAGCCACCUCCUCAUCCUCUCCUUGGUUUAAUGAUGAACCCAUGGUUCGGAACUUGUUUCCAUAGUUCAUUUCUCGAGAAUCUUACAAUGUCAGCUCGUCAAUUUGUGUUGCAUCUUUUCUUCUCAGACAUCCUGAGUCCGAGCUAUCCUGACACCAAUCAGAUCUGAAUCUCGUUCAGAUAUGAUGGUUGGAACAUAUUCCCAAGAGUUAUAACAUUGGUCCUUAACCCGAUAAGGUGAUGUCAUCCUAACACACCUGCCUGGAGGGCCUAUUGUUAUAGUUUCCUUUCUAGCAAGGUUAAUCAUUCUUCCAUAAGUAAAUUGUAAGACUUAUUCUAUGAGUUGUUCCUGAUGGAUCCCUUGUGUAUCCAAAGUCUGACCUUUGCUUGCAGACCAUGUCAAUGCUAUCCCGAGGCAUGUCUGUGGUAAUCCGCUUUUCAACAAGAACAUUUGAAGUCCAAUGCUAAAUGUUUCUCGCUCAAUUAUCCAAACACCAUUGUAUGGGUAAUGUCAUGGAAUUUCUCUCCCCUACCUAAAGAGUUUUCUACAUUAUAUCCUGUCAUGGAUAUCGUGCUCUUCUUGUCCUUGGGAAGGAUAUACCCAUGAAAUAUGUGUUUAAACACAUUUUCCUUUCCAUUGUCCUAUUUAAUCUGAUAAUCAUAUUUUUCUCUCCAUUGUUUGGUUUAACCUUUCUGGUGAUCUAUAUGAUCUAAGCAGUAAUAUUCUUCUGCUUAUGUAAACACCUUGGUGUACAACCAUGUCAGUAAGACCCUGUUGCUUUUUUUGAUAGCAUUCCAGUAACCACCGAUGGACGAGAACUUUGCCUAUUGGUCCGUCUCGUUCAAUGAGCAGGAAAAUGGUUCUCUUCGUCCCUCGCCCUUGGUACCAAUGGUUGUUGCCAACAUAAUCGAUAGUCUAUCCUCUGGCAUGCCUUGCUUACAUGAUCAUGCAAGACGUCAUCCCCCUUCCUACUUUUAACCCACAUGGUGGGCCCAUAACCCACAAUUUCACAGGAUCGAAACCUGACUCUCCUGUACACCCUGUUGUCAAAGUUAUUCCCCACGUUUGACUUUGUAUGUAAUUCACGGGCCACCUUCCUAGUGAUCUAUUCUAGUACCAGACGCAAUACUUAAUCCCAUUGCCCUGAACCCCUUUCACCCCCUCCCCGUUUCAGGCAAUGAAUGAUUGCCUACCCACUUGAAGCUUCUUAUUACACCUUCUUACCUUGCUCUCGAUGAAUUUAUUGAACUUUAACUCGACACAUGCCCCUAUGUCACGUUCACUGAGAUGGCCCCGGGUACCUAUCUUGUUUUGAGCUUCGUCCUUCCCGAGUCUUUCCCCCUUACUCCAGCCUUAAAUCGCGGGACGAGAUUUCUUGUAGUGGAGGAGAAUUGUGACGCCUGGAUAAUUAAGCUAUAGUAAUUCCCUGCUAAUGGUGCCACGUCAUCAUGACUACUGUUGUUAAACCCGCAUUGGUUCAAAUCCGGUCCAUAUUCAAAUUUAAAUUAAAGUCAAAACAUUUAAAGUUUUCAAAUGUCAGAACUAAAAUGUUCAUAAUGUUGCAAAUAAUCACCAAGUAGUUUUCAUGGAAAAACCAACGUUAUUUGAAUUAAUGAAAUGCCCCUAACCUUUUCAAAAUAGAGCCAAUAUAGCAACUUUUAACUCAUUUAUAUUUAAACCCAAUCCUAAUGAAUUCAACAACCCUCACACUUUUUGUGACAGUACUAGGUUUUUCCCUAGUAUUUAUUCUGCUCAAUAACACUUUUUUCAAAACUCAUGUAGUGCAAGAAAUAGUGCAAAACAGAAAAGGAUAACAUAAAACAAAACUAAAAAAAGAAAGAAAAAAUAAAAACAAAGCCCCCCUCUUCAUGGGCCUAAUGGCCCAACCGGCCACCCAUGCCACCAGGAGGCCCAUCCCGUCCCACCUUAUCCCCGAG
rnacentral:lncRNA from 1 species